rnacentral:rRNA from 1 species
GACGAACGCUGGCGGCGUGCUUAACACAUGCAAGUCGAACGGAAAGGCCCUGCUUUUGUUGGUUGCUCGAGUGGCGAACGGGUGAGUAACACGUGUGUAUCCCGCCCUUGUCUUUGGGAUAACAUCAGGAAACAGGGGCUAAUAUCCGGUAGGAGCUCUUGCUGCGUGGGGGGGGUUGGAAAGUUUCGGCGGUUUGGGAUGGAUUGGCUGCUUAUCGGCUUGUUUGUGUGGUAGUGGCGUACCAAGGUUAUGACGGGUAGCCGGCCUGAGAGGGGUACCGGCGACAUGGGGACUGAGAGACGGAGCAGACUCCUACGGGAGGCAGUGGGGGGGAAUAUUGCACAACGGGCGGAAGCCUGAUGCAGCAACGCCGCGUGCGGGAUGACGGCCUUCGGGUUGUAAACCGCUUUCGACUGUGACGAAGCGUGAGUGACGGUAAUGGGUAAAGAAGCACCGGCUAACUACGUG